rnacentral:rRNA from 1 species
UGCGCAGGCGGCCUGUUAAGUCAGGGGUGAAAUAUGACAGCUCAACCGUCAAACUGCCCCUGAAACUGAUAGGCUUGAGUCCGAGAGAGGUAGGUGGAAUUCCAGGUGUAGCGGUGAAAUGCGUAAAUAUCUGGAGGAACACCAGUGGCGAAGGCGGCCUACUGGCUCGGAACUGACGCUCAGGCACGAAAGCAUGGGGAGCGAACG